rnacentral:misc_RNA from 1 species
AACGCACCUUGCACUCUUUGGUAUUCCGAAGAGUAUGUCUGUUUGAGUGUCAUGAAACUCUCAACCCCCUUGUUUUGUAAUGAAAUAAGCGUGGGCUUGGAUUAUGGCUGCUGCCGGCGUAACUGUCGACUCGGCUGAAAUACACGAGCUACCCAUUUCUAAGAAAUAGACGGUUUGACUCGGCGUAAUAACAUAUUUCGCUGAGGACGUCACAUUCUUAAUCAUUAGUGGUGCUUCUAAUGCGACAUCUAAAUUUAAGCUUUAGACCUCAAAUCAGUCAGGACUACCCGCUGAACUUAA